UCGCCUCGAUAACGUAUAUCGGUGGAAAAAGAGUCCCCAGUACAACCCGUGGAAUAACAGAUAUCAACAGUACUCCGGCUCAUCAUCCGACAGUGACCGAUCAGGAAACUACAAACACCCAGCUCGUUUUUUAGGCAACCGACGGAGAGGACGGGGACCAGGACCAGGCGCACCAGGAGAGGUGGCAGGAGACAGUCAAGGAAGUCAAGUACAGACCAGAUCGCAGACCCGCUGAUAUCACGACCUGCGAGGAUUUAGACCACUGAAGAAGGCCGUGACAGGCCGAAACGUUUGGUCACACAUCUUCUACCUUUUCCACUGUGAAUAUUGCACCGGAACUUUAAGCAUGUUUAAAAAAAUGUAAAAAUGU